GAAUCCCACAGGCCGUAAACCCAAGGUUUCCAGGGGAAGGUUCGUCCGCCCUGGGUUAGUCGGGACCUAAGCUGAGGCCGAAAGGCGUAGGCGAUGGACAACAGGUUGAUAUUCCUGUACUACCGAUAACCGUUUGAGAGAAGGGAUGACACAGUAGGAUAAGCUAAGCACACUGUUGGAUAUGUGUGCCCAAGCAUUGAGGCAGUCAAAGUAGGCAAA
rnacentral:rRNA from 1 species